AUACUUACCUGGCAUAGGGGUUACCGUGAUCAGAAAGGCGGUUCCCCCAGGGCGAGACCCUUCCAUUGCACCUCGGCUGGGUUGACCCCUGCGAUUAUCCCUCAUGUGGAUAACUCGUAUGGGGAUUUUUUUUUAUUAUCUGACAAUUUGCGCCGGGGGUCUUCAGAUU